rnacentral:rRNA from 1 species
UUCCUAGUACGAGAGGACCGGAAUGGACGAACCUCUGGUGUUCCAGUUGUCACGCCAGUGGCAACGCUGGGUAGCUAUGUUCGGACGGGAUAACCGCUGAAAGCAUCUAAGCGGGAAGCCCACCCCAAGAUGAGAUCUCCCUUUCGCAGGGCAACCUGCGAAACUGAAGGCCCCUCGAAGACCACGAGGUUGAUAGGCCGGGGGUGUACGCACAGCAAUGUGUUCAGCUUACCGGUACUAAUCGGCCGUGAGGCUUGGCCACAAAACA